UACCUGGUUGAUCCUGCCAGUAAUCAUAUGCUUGUCUCAAAGAUUAAGCCAUGCAUGUCUAAGUACAUGCCGAAAUAAGGCGAAACCGCGAAUGGCUCAUUAAAUCAGUUAUGGUUCCUUAGAUCGUUUCUUCCUACUUGGAUAACUGUGGCAAUUCUAGAGCUAAUACAUGCAGUGAGCCUGAAGCCCUUUGGGCGACGGGUGCUUUUAUUAGACCAAGAUCGAUCGGGUUUCGGCCCGUAUUGUGUGGUGACUCUGGAUAACUUUGUGCUGAUCGCAUGGCCACGAGCCGGCGACGUUUCUUUCAAGUGUCUGCCUUAUCAACUUUCGAUGGUAGGUUACUUGCUUACCAUGGUUGUUACGGGUAACGGAGAAUCAGGGUUCGAUUCCGGAGAGGGAGCCUGAGAAACGGCUACCACAUCCAAGGAAGGCAGCAGGCGCGCAAAUUACCCACUCCCGGCACGGGGAGGUAGUGACGAAAAAUAACAAUACGGGACUCUUUUGAGGCCCCGUAAUUGAAAUGAGUACACUCUAAAUCCUUUAACGAGGAUCAAUUGGAGGGCAAGUCUGGUGCCAGCAGCCGCGGUAAUUCCAGCUCCAAUAGCGUAUACUAAAGCUGCUGCGGUUAAAAAGCUCGUAGUUGGAUCUCAGUUCCAGACGAGUAGUGCAUCUACCCGAUGCGACGGCUCGGACUGAACAUCAUGCCGGUCCUUUCUUGGUGCACUUCAUUGUGUGCCUCGAGAAGGCCGGUGCUUUUACUUUGAAAAAAUUAGAGUGCUCAACGCAGGCGAGUCGCCUGAAUAAACUUGCAUGGAAUAAUAGAACAAGACCUCGUUUCUGUUCUGUUGGUUUUUGGAAUACGAGGUAAUGAUUAAGAGGGACAGACGGGGGCAUUCGUAUUGCGGCGCUAGAGGUGAAAUUCUUGGACCGUCGCAAGACGAACUACUGCGAAAGCAUUUGCCAAGAAUGUUUUCUUUGAUCAAGAACGAAAGUCAGAGGUUCGAAGGCGAUCAGAUACCGCCCUAGUUCUGACCAUAAACGAUGCCAACCAGCGAUCCGCCUGAGUUACUCAAAUGACUCGGCGGGCAGCUUCCGGGAAACCAAAGUGUUUGGGUUCCGGGGGAAGUAUGGUUGCAAAGCUGAAACUUAAAGGAAUUGACGGAAGGGCACCACCAGGAGUGGAGCCUGCGGCUUAAUUUGACUCAACACGGGAAAACUUACCCGGCCCGGACACUGGGAGGAUUGACAGAUUGAGAGCUCUUUCUUGAUUCGGUGGAUGGUGGUGCAUGGCCGUUCUUAGUUGGUGGAGCGAUUUGUCUGGUUAAUUCCGAUAACGAACGAGACUCUAGCCUAUUAAAUAGGUGCGGGGUUCCCAGCACCUUACAACCUUCUUAGAGGGACAAGCGGCUCCUAGCCGCACGAAACAGAGCAAUAACAGGUCUGUGAUGCCCUUAGAUGUCCGGGCCGCACGCGCGCUACACUGAAGGAAGCAGCGUGUCUUUAUCCCUGUCUGAAAAGACUGGGUAACCCGUGGAACUUCUUUCGUGAUUGGGAUAGGGGCUUGCAAUUGUUCCCCUUGAACGAGGAAUUCCCAGUAAGCGCGAGUCAUAAGCUCGCGUUGAUUACGUCCCUGCCCUUUGUACACACCGCCCGUCGCUACUACCGAUUGAAUGAUUUAGUGAGGUCUUCGGACCGAUGUCCGGCGCGGCCUUUCGGUUGCGCCGGUCUGUUGGAAAGAUGACCAAACUUGAUCAUUUAGAGGAAGUAAAAGUCGUAACAAGGUUUCCGUAGGUGAACCUGCGGAAGGAUCAUUA
rnacentral:rRNA from 1 species